CAGCAGUGGGGAAUUUUGGACAAUGGGGGCAAGCCUGAUCCAGCAAUGCCGCGUGAGUGAAGAAGGCCUUCGGGUUGUAAAGCUCUUUUGUCAGGGAAGAAACACCGGCUCUAACACAGUCCGGGAAUGACGGUACCUGAAGAAUAAGCACCGGCUAACUACGUG
rnacentral:rRNA from 1 species